CUCCCUGUGGUUCAGUUGGUAGAGCAUGGUGUUUGCAACGCCAGGGUUGUGGGUUUGAUUCCCACGGGGGGC
rnacentral:tRNA from 1 species